GACAGAGGAUGCAAGCGUUAUCCGGAAUGAUUGGGCGUAAAGCGUCUGUAGGUGGCUUUUCAAGUCCGCCGUCAAAUCCCAGGGCUCAACCCUGGACAGGCGGUGGAAACUACCAAGCUGGAGUACAGUAGGGGCGGAGGGAAUUUCUGGUGGAGCGGUGAAAUGCAUUGAGAUCGGAAAGAACACCAACGGCGAAAGCACUCUGCUGGGCCGACACUGACACUGAGAGACGAAAGCUAGGGGAGCAAAUGGG
rnacentral:rRNA from 1 species